GCCGCCCUCUUUCUUCUUGCCUAAUACAUGCAAGUCGAGCGAACGGACGAGAAGCUUGCUUCUCUGAUGUUAGCGGCGGACGGGUGAGUAACACGUGGAUAACCUACCUAUAAGACUGGGAUAACUUCGGGAAACCGGAGCUAAUACCGGAUGAUAUUUUGAACCGCAUGGUUCAAAAGUGAAAGACGGUCUUGCUGUCACUUAUAGAUGGAUCCGCGCUGCAUUAGCUAGUUGGUAAGGUAACGGCUUACCAAGGCAACGAUGCAUAGCCGACCUGAGAGGGUGAUCGGCCACACUGGAACUGAGACACGGUCCAGACUCCUACGGGAGGCAGCAGUAGGGAAUCUUCCGCAAUGGGCGAAAGCCUGACGGAGCAACGCCGCGUGAGUGAUGAAGGUCUUCGGAUCGUAAAACUCUGUUAUUAGGGAAGAACAUAUGUGUAAGUAACUGUGCACAUCUUGACGGUACCUAAUCAGAAAGCCACGGCUAACUACGUG
rnacentral:rRNA from 1 species